rnacentral:misc_RNA from 1 species
UUUCCGUAGGUGAACCUGCGGAAGGAUCAUUAAAAAAUAUCACAUUUGUUUGUGAUUUAAUAAUCAUCCUAUCCUUUGUGAAUUUGUUUUUGUUUGAAAUUUAUGUUGUCUAUCCUGGAUUAUGAAAGAAAAGUUGUAAAAGACUUUUUUUCAUUCUAGGAAUAGGCUUUCAUAGACAUUUUUUUAAAUUAAACUUUUUGUAUUCAUUUGUCUAAAUUUAUUUUUAAAUAAUUUAAAAACAACUUUUGACAAUGGAUCUCUUGGUUCUCGCAACGAUGAAGAACGCAGCAAAAUGCGAUAAGUAAUGUGAAUUGCAGAAUACGUGAAUCAUCAAAUUUUCGAACGCAUAUUGCACUUUUUUAGUUUACUAAAAAAGUAUGUCUGUUUGAGUAUCAGUAAAAUAUUCUCAUAAAAACUAUUGUUUUUAUGGUUAUGAGUGUUUUACAACGAUAACAAGUUGUUUCACUUUAAAUUGAUUUUUUUAAUAAGCCAAUUUGGUUUUAUUUUUAAAAUUGGAUAAAAUUUUCCCGUAAAAAGGAAUAAACUUUUCAGUUUUAAAGUUAAAACUUAAAUUGACCUACAAAAAGGAAAUUUAAUUAUAAAACUAACUUGAUCUCAAAUCAGAUAAGAGUACCCGCUGAACUUAAGCAUAUCAGUAAGCGGAGGAAAGAAACUAACAAGGAUUCCCUUAGUAACGGCGAGUGAAGCGGAAGAGCUCAAAUUUGAAAUCUUCAAGGUUCUACCUUGACGAAUUGUAGUUUAAAGAAGUGUUUUCUGUUAGUGGAGUGGCAAAAGUUCUUUGGAAUAGGACAUCAUAGAGGGUGAGAAUCCCGUAUUUGGUCAUUCCUUCUAGCUUUGUGAUACACUUUCAAAGAGUCGGAUUGUUUGGGAAUGCAGUCCAAAAUGGGUGGUAAAUUUCAUCUAAAGCUAAAUAUUGGCGAGAGACCGAUAGCGAACAAGUACCGUGAGGGAAAGAUGAAAAGAACUUUGAAAAGAGAGUUAAACAGUACGUGAAAUUGUCAAAAGGGAAGCGUUUGACACCAGUGUUGUUUUUCCGAAAAUCAAUUAUAAAUGUUUUGUUUCUGAGGAGUGAUGACUUCAUCGGCUUCCUUCUCUCUUCACGAAACUUUUGUAAUGCACUUUUCGGUUAACAAGUCAACAUCAAUUUCUUUUGUUGUAAAAGAGUAUUCGGAAGGUGGCUUUCUUUCGGAGAAAGUGUUUAUAGCCUAUACUUCUACAAUCGGAGAGAUUGAGGUCUGCAGCGUAGAUCCUUCGGGUUAGAUACACUUGUGCUAAGUUAUAGCUUUUCAUAGACAACUUGUUGACUAUGUUUAGUCUUGUAGCUUACUCGCUUGUGCUAUUU